AUGUUUUGUUGGGCGACGGUAGGGCGCGCACUGCGAGCAGAUGGCGGGGGUGGUGGUCCAAAGGCACUGGACGACGGCGCAUCACGAGCACGAGUGGCGGCACGGCCGGCAACUGCAAGCUAUGUGGCCGCCGGCGUGGAUUGGCUCGGCGGUGCUGCAACCGCAGUUCCGCAGAGCUGCAACCGUGGUCGGAGAAAGCUGGAACCACGGUCUAGCGGAGCUGCAAGGUUCCUACAUGCUGGUGAGGGGGUGCUACAACCAUGGAUGAGAAAAGCUGGAAGCGUUGUCCGGCGGAGCUACAACCAGAUCCGGUGGAGCUGCGAGCGAGGCAUGAUUUUUGGCGACAUUGUCGGCCCUCGGUUGGUUUGUGAGGUGUUCUUUUUGCUGGAACCGGCAUAUUAUUUUGCUGGAACUACCUUAUUUUUUGCUACAAUCGACCCUGCAGCUCUUCUCCUCUGA
rnacentral:rRNA from 1 species